GACGAACGCUGGCGGCGUGCCUAAUACAUGCAAGUUGAGCGAUGAAGAUUGGUGCUUGCACCAAUUUGAAGAGCAGCGAACGGGUGAGUAACGCGUGGGGAAUCUGCCUUUGAGCGGGGGACAACAUUUGGAAACGAAUGCUAAUACCGCAUAACAACUUUAAACAUAAGUUUUAAGUUUGAAAGAUGCAAUUGCAUCACUCAAAGAUGAUCCCGCGUUGUAUUAGCUAGUUGGUGAGGUAAAGGCUCACCAAGGCGAUGAUACAUAGCCGACCUGAGAGGGUGACCGGCCACAUUGGGACUGAGACACGGCCCAAACUCCUACGGGAGGCAGCAGUAGGGAAUCUUCGGCAAUGGACGAAAGUCUGACCGAGCAACGCCGCGUGAGUGAAGAAGGUUUUCGGAUCGUAAAACUCUGUUGGUAGAGAAGAACGUUGGUGAGAGUGGAAAGCUCAUCAAGUGACGGUAACUACCCAGAAAGGGACGGCUAACUACGUG
rnacentral:rRNA from 1 species